GGGUGGACUGGGACACAUAGUCACAGUACUUUGUCCAAGUUCACUGCACGUUGCUGUACCCACAACUAGGUGUUUGCACGUAUUCAUGCGGCCCCCAUCUGGUCAUACACCAUUGGAUUUGUGGGUUCUUUUAAGUGCACAGAGUUGUGUACUGUACACUAGGGGUUGUUUGUCAUGAAAUGCUUGUGGG